CCUACGGGAGGCAGCAGUGGGGAAUAUUGGACAAUGGGCGAAAGCCUGAUCCAGCAAUGCCGCGUGAGUGAUGAAGGCCUUCGGGUCGUAAAGCUCUUUUACCAGGGAUGAUAAUGACAGUACCUGGAGAAUAAGCUCCGGCUAACUCCGUGCCAGCAGCCGCGGUAAUACGGAGGGAGCUAGCGUUGUUCGGAAUUACUGGGCGUAAAGAGUACGUAGGCGGUUAUUCAAGUCAGAGGUGAAAGCCCGGGGCUCAACCCCGGAACUGCCUUUGAAACUAGAUAACUAGAGUCUUGGAGAGGUUAGUGGAAUUCCGAGUGUAGAGGCGAAAUUCGUAGAUAUUCGGAAGAACACCAGUGGCGAAGGCGACUAACUGGACAAGUACUGACGCUGAGGUACGAAAGCGUGGGGAGCAAACAGGAUUAGAUACCCUGGUAGUCCACGCCGUAAACGAUGAUAACUAGCUGUUCGGUCACUUGGUGACUGAGUGACGCAGCUAACGCAUUAAGUUAUCCGCCUGGGGAGUACGGUCGCAAGAUUAAAACUCAAAGGAAUUGACGG
rnacentral:rRNA from 1 species